rnacentral:tRNA from 1 species
GGGAGCGGAUGGGUGCUGGUGUGCCCUCUGGUCUUCAAAACCAGCUGUGAGGCGUUAGUAGCGUCUUGGGUGGGUUCGAUUCCCACACGGUCCCGCCA